rnacentral:lncRNA from 1 species
AAGCAUGUUCACACUGCUGUGUGCUUGUGGAGGCCAGAAGACAACUUUGUGGAGCAGGUUCUUGCUUUCUAUUGUGGGCUGUGAGGAUCAAACUCAGGCUGGAAGGCUGACUCAGCAAGUGCUUUAUACCUGCUGAGUCACUUCACUGGCCCAAAGCCAAUUACUUUUUUUGUUGUUGUUGUUUAUUUUUCUAGACAGGGUCUCAUUAUAUAGCUCUGACUCUGACUGUCCUGGAACUCAUGUAGAAUAGACUUGCCUCAGAGAUUCACUGGCUUCUGCCUCCCAAGUGCACUGCUGCCCCUGGCUCUUCCCAUUUACUUCUAAAAAGACUGAAAAUAGUAAGAAAAAGGAAAAAAAAAUGUGGUUCAUUACUUUGUGUAAAUCUAGUUUUCAUAUGGUAUCACAUUCCCUCUGCCCACAGAGCUUUGAUUAUCAUUUCUUUUAUGUACAUGUGUUAUAGACAAUGUGUCUGUCCUCUUCAGUUUUUGCUGGUCUGAAAAGUUUAAGAACAGUAGCUUAUGUAUCCUAGAUGUCCUCCAAGGAUGGCCUUGGCCUCCCGACCCUCCUGCCUGAACCUCUUGAGUGUUGGGAUUAUAGUACAGGAGUGUACUCUUGGUUUAUGUGAUACUAGGGAUCAAUCCAGAGACUCACAGGGCUAGAAUGUCUAGCUACUAAAACUGAACUAAAGCUUUAGUUCCUGUUGGGAAAGUUUUCAGAGCCAGAGUGACUGCGUGCCUGUAAUCCUAGCUUGUGGGAGACUGAGGCAGGAAAAUGAUUGUAAAUUUAAGAUCAGCAUGACUAGCUGGGGAGUUCGAGGACAGCCUGGUCUACAAAGUGAGUUCCAGGACAGCCAGGGCUAUACAGAGAAACCCUGUCU